UUUUUUUUUGCUUUCGUUGGAAAUUUGUCGGAAAGUUCCGACGAAAUUCCCACAAACUCCAAAUACUUACUUCUUCCUCUUUUACCCUAGCCUUUCUUACUUCAGUCUUAUAGAAAACAAAGGAUCGGCCAUUCUCCCUAAACCAUGGUUGGCGUCUCCCCAAAUCACCUCUAGCAACCGCCGAUUUUCCCCACAACACAACCGUGCUGCGAUAAACCACCAUCACAAACGCUUUACGCCGGCGGUGUCUCAGUUGCAAGCGUUUCUUCCCACCGUUGCUGCAUCAAACGACCAUCACAACCACUUCACGCUGGCGCUGUCUCCGUUGCCGCAGCCAAUAACUUCUAGACCACCACUUGUUUCCGUCGUCGGUUAGUUCAGACACUUUAUGAUUGGGAUUUGAGAGAGGAUGAAAAAGUUAGGGAAAACUUUGAGUUUAUCGUCCAAGAACGAUACAGAGACCUCAUGGCUACAUUUAGGAAUAGAUCAACAUAUAUGGCUAGAGCUGCUGGACAUGAUAUCUCACCGGAUAAUAAAGACUAUGAUAUCAUGCAGACUUUUGUACCCAAUGGGAUGCAAUCUCAGAGGUGGAAGGAUUUGUGUAGGGAAUGGAACACGGAUGCGUGGCUGAAAAGAUCUGCAAGUGGGAAGAGUAACCGCAAUACCGCUGAUAGUGGUGGGAAAAUAGCAAGACAUACUGGGGGUAGUAUUAGUUAUGAUGAGCACCGCAUUAGAUUCAUAGCAAAAAAGGGACGACCACCCACAUUUUUGGAGUUGUUCUUGAUCACUCAUCUAGAUAAAACAUCAAAGAAGAAAUAUUUUGAUUGAGAUGUUGAGGGAAAGCAGUUUUGCAAUGAGAGAGCAAGGGAAGCUUAUGAAACGUACUCUCGAACCUUGCUUGAGAAGUAUGGGGAUGAUUUGGUUGAUCACCCGAUUGAUGAUGCCGAAUUGUGGGCUAAAACCCAAAGGGAGAUAAGUGGUGCUUCGAGGUGUAGUUAUAUCUAUGGAGUUGGAUCUUCGGAUAUAAACUCUUUGUUCAAUAGGAAAUCAUCUAUUGGUGCGGGGUGUUCGUCGUCUUAUUGCGGGUCUCAACAGGAGGUUAAGGAGCUACGAAACCAACUUGAAAAUGUGGAGAGGGAAAGAGUUUUGAUGCAACAAAAACAAGAAGUGAUGGAACAACAAUUGGCUCAACUAAUGAGACGAUUUGGUAACCCUCCUGAAGACCGAUGUUAGUUUUGUUUGGAAUAUUUUGUUGGUGAAGUACAAAAAUGUAAUUGUUUUGGUGAAGUAGUAGAUGGUAACUAUCAUCCGGAUGAAAUAUUGGUUUUGUGGAUAUUUAGUAAUUACUAUCAUGUUUGAAGUAUUGAAUAGUAGUUACCAUUUUGGAUUUAUAUUGAAUUAUUGUUAUUAUUGUGGUUUAAAGUGCAUAUUUGAAGAAUUUGUAUUUGAUU